GAUGAACGCUGGCGGCGUGCCUAAUACAUGCAAGUCGAGCGAACAGAUGAGGAGCUUGCUCCUCUGACGUUAGCGGCGGACGGGUGAGUAACACGUGGAUAACCUACCUAUAAGACUGGGAUAACUUCGGGAAACCGGAGCUAAUACCGGAUAAUAUAUUGAACCGCAUGGUUCAAUAGUGAAAGACGGUUUUGCUGUCACUUAUAGAUGGAUCCGCGCCGCAUUAGCUAGUUGGUAAGGUAACGGCUUACCAAGGCAACGAUGCGUAGCCGACCUGAGAGGGGGAUCGGCCACACUGGAACUGAGACACGGUCCAGACUCCUACGGGAGGCAGCAGUAGGGAAUCUUCCGCAAGGGGCGAAAGCCGGACGGAGCAACGCCGCGUGAGUGAUGAAGGUCUUCGGAUCGUAAAACUCUGUUAUUAGGGAAGAACAAAUGUGUAAGUAACUAUGCACGUCUUGACGGUACCUAAUCAGAAAGCCACGGCUAACUACGUG
rnacentral:rRNA from 1 species